rnacentral:rRNA from 1 species
UACGUAGGUGGCAAGCGUUGUCCGGAUUUAUUGGGUUUAAAGGGUGCGUAGGCGGUCCUAUAAGUCAGUGCUGAAAUAUCCCGGCUUAACCGGGAGGGUGGCAUUGAUACUGUAGGACUUGAGUAAAGUUGAGGUUGGCGGAAUUGACGGUGUAGCGGUGAAAUGCUUAGAUAUCGUCAAGAACACCGAUGGCGAAGGCAGCUAACUAAGCUUUAACUGACGCUGAGGCACGAAAGCUAGGGGAGCGAACGGG